ACUUUGCUCUUUCCCAUGAUGUUGCUUUUGACCCAUAUGAGGAGUUGCCCACUUACCCUGAAGUGAAUGUUGGGCCUAGAAAUUUCAGACCAACUUAUAUGGUGGCACCAAACCAUCCUGGAUGGCAGCAGCGAGUGGCACGUUAGUGACUUCAUUGAGUUUGACUACAUGCGACUCUUCAGGAGACUCGGGCAUCUUUGAGAAAUUCAAUAAAAUAUUUGAACUACA